GACGAACGCUGGCGGCGUGCUUAACACAUGCAAGUCGAACGAUGAAGCCGGAGCUUGCUCUGGUGAAUUAGUGGCGAACGGGUGAGUAACACGUGAGUAACCUGCCCUUGACUCUGGGAUAACUGCUAGAAAUGGUAGCUAAUACCGAUUACGACCCUCGGCGGCAUCGCCAGGGGGUGGAAAGAUUUUCGGUCAAGGAUGGACUCGCGGCCUAUCAGCUAGUUGGUGAGGUAACGGCUCACCAAGGCGACGACGGGUAGCCGGCCUGAGAGGGUGACCGGCCACACUGGGACUGAGACACGGCCCAGACUCCUACGGGAGGCAGCAGUGGGGAAUAUUGCACAAUGGGCGCAAGCCCGAUGCAGCAACGCCGCGUGAGGGAUGACGGCCUUCGGGUUGUAAACCUCUUUUAGUAGGGAAGAAGCGAAAGUGACGGUACCUGCAGAAAAAGCACCGGCUAACUACGUGCCAGCAGCCGCCGUAA
rnacentral:rRNA from 1 species